rnacentral:rRNA from 1 species
GACGAACGCUGGCGGCGUGCUUAACACAUGCAAGUCGAACGGUGAUCCACUUUCGGGUGGUGAUCAGUGGCGAACGGGUGAGUAACACGUGAGCAACCUGCCCCUGGCUCUGGGACAACCACUGGAAACGGUGGCUAAUACCGGAUACGACCCGCCAUCGCAUGGUGUGUGGGUGGAAAGUUUUUCGGCUGGGGAUGGGCUCGCGGCCUAUCAGCUUGUUGGUGGGGUGAUGGCCUACCAAGGCGACGACGGGUAGCCGGCCUGAGAGGGCGACCGGCCACACUGGGACUGAGACACGGCCCAGACUCCUACGGGAGGCAGCAGUGGGGAAUAUUGCACAAUGGGCGAAAGCCUGAUGCAGCGACGCCGCGUGAGGGAUGACGGCCUUCGGGUUGUAAACCUCUUUCAGCUCCGAAGAAGCCAUGCUUACUGGUGUGGUGACGGUAGGAGCAGAAGAAGCACCGGCUAACUACGUGCCAGCCGCCGUAAAAC